rnacentral:tRNA from 1 species
GGAGCCGUGGUGCAGUUGGUUAGCACACCGGACUGUCACUCCGGAGGUCGCGGGUUCGAGUCCCGUCGGCUCCG